rnacentral:rRNA from 1 species
CCUACGGGAGACAGCAGUGGGGAAUAUUGCACAAUGGGGGAAACCCUGAUGCAGCGACGCCGCGUGAGUGAAGAAGUAAUUCGUUAUGUAAAGCUCUAUCAGCAGGGAAGAAAAUGACGGUACCUGAGUAAGAAGCCCCGGCUAACUACGUGCCAGCAGCCGCGGUAAUACGUAGGGGGCAAGCGUUAUCCGGAUUUACUGGGUGUAAAGGGAGCGUAGGCGGAAGUGCAAGUCUGGAGUGAAAGGCUGGGGCUCAACCGCAGGAUUGGUCUGGAAACUGUACGGCUGGAGUACAGGAGAGGUGAGUGGAAUUCCUGGUGUAGCGGUGAAAUGCGUAGAUAUUAGGAGGAACACCGGUGGCGAAGGCAGCUUACUGGACUGUAACUGACGUUGAGGCUCGAAAGCGUGGGUAGCAAACAGGAUUAGAUACCCGGGUAGUC